rnacentral:rRNA from 1 species
GAUGAACACUGGCGGCGUGCCUAAUACAUGCAAGUCGAGCGAACAGAUAAGGAGCUUGCUCCUUUGACGUUAGCGGCGGACGGGUGAGUAACACGUGGGUAACCUACCUAUAAGACUGGGAUAACUUCGGGAAACCGGAGCUAAUACCGGAUAACAUUUGGAACCGCAUGGUUCUAAAGUGAAAGAUGGUUUUGCUAUCACUUAUAGAUGGACCCGCGCCGUAUUAGCUAGUUGGUAAGGUAACGGCUUACCAAGGCAACGAUACGUAGCCGACCUGAGAGGGUGAUCGGCCACACUGGAACUGAGACACGGUCCAGACUCCUACGGGAGGCAGCAGUAGGGAAUCUUCCGCAAUGGGCGAAAGCCUGACGGAGCAACGCCGCGUGAGUGAUGAAGGGUUUCGGCUCGUAAAACUCUGUUAUUAGGGAAGAACAAACGUGUAAGUAACUGUGCACGUCUUGACGGUACCUAAUCAGAAAGCCACGGCUAACUACGUG